rnacentral:rRNA from 1 species
AGCUUUACCAUGCAAGUCGAACGGCAGCACGAGAGAGCUUGCUCUCUUGGUGGCGAGUGGCGGACGGGUGAGUAAUAUAUCGGAACGUGCCCAGUAGCGGGGGAUAACUACUCGAAAGAGUGGCUAAUACCGCAUACGCCCUACGGGGGAAAGGGGGGGAUCGCAAGACCUCUCACUAUUGGAGCGGCCGAUAUCGGAUUAGCUAGUUGGUGGGGUAAAGGCUCACCAAGGCAACGAUCCGUAGCUGGUUUGAGAGGACGACCAGCCACACUGGGACUGAGACACGGCCCAAACUCCUACGGGAGGCAGCAGUGGGGAAUUUUGGACAAUGGGGGAAACCCUGAUCCAGCCAUCCCGCGUGUAUGAUGAAGGCCUUCGGGUUGUAAAGUACUUUUGGCAGAAAAAAAAAGGCAUCCCCUAAUACGGGAUGCUGCUGACGGUAUCUGCAAAAUAAGCACCGGCUAACUACGUGCCAGCAGCCGCGGUAAUACGUAGGGUGCAAGCGUUAAUCGGAAUUACUGGGCGUAAAGCGUGUGUAGGCGGUUCGGAAAGAAAGAUGUGAAAUCCCAGGGCUCAACCUUGGAACUGCAUUUUUAACUGCCGAGCUAAAGUAUGUCAGA